rnacentral:misc_RNA from 1 species
GAGGAAAUUAAGGAAGAACAGAAAGAAAGGACAGAGAAGAUAAGAUUAGAGAAGCAAUUAGAAGAGAAACCUGAAACAGAGCUUAGACGCUGGAAAUUGGAGGAAUAGCAACCCUGAUGGAGUAGGAAUCAACGCUCCUACCUUGCUCUGAUACUAAAUGUUAGGAACAGAAUCCCUAGCAGCUCUGUUCAUAGAAGAAAAUUUAAAGAAUGGAAGAGAGAAAGAGAGAAAACAAAGUGGAAAUUGAGAGAAAGAGAGAAAACAAAGUGGAAAUUGAGAGAAAGAGUUAAUGAGAUUCUUGAUAUUUUCUUGAAUGUCUCUCUACAAGUCUCCUAGCUGUAUUUAUACAGCUGAUCAACUAAUUCCAGCUGGAAUAACUGCUCCUGCCAAAACUAACUGCUGCUAACAACUCCAGCACGACUAUUACCACUUAAGAACCUAAUUGCUUCCAGCUACAAUUCUAACUACUUAGGACAUCACUAACUGCUUCCCUGAAACUCCUGUAUGUGACGCCUUCAUUCCUUUAUAUUACAUUGCAACAUUGAAAAAGUAAUUUUACUGUUGUAUUCUUACCAUACAGGUAAAUGGUAUCUAAGAUUUUAGAUGUCACCAAGUUGGUAGAUACUUUGCAUUACACAUCUUCCUGUGUGCUUGUAAAAUAUACAUAUCAAGAUUUCUAUUGUUUAUGUGUUACCUUUCGUAAGUUGGCUCAAGUUCAAAUUUUUACCUACUUAUAUAUAUUUGCAAUAUGGCCCCACAAUUUUUAUUGUUUGAGUGCUUAAUUUAUAAAAUUAUCAUUCAUAGUCCUACAAAAAUGUAUAAAGUUAAAGGAAAAACUUAUGAUUUCUUAAUCUUGUAACAUUUUUAUAGAUCCUGUAAAUAUUUAAACAGUUUUUUGUGUGCAGAUUACUCAAAAGUGGCCUGGAUUACCCAGAGGGGUGAAAUUUGAUCCAACUGAUCAAGAAAUUAUUUGGCAUUUACUUGC